rnacentral:rRNA from 1 species
UACGUAGGGGGCAAGCGUUGUCCGGAAUCAUUGGCGUAAAGCGCGUGUAGGCGGCCAGAAAAGUCCGCUGUGAAAACUCGAGGCUCAACUUCGAGCUGUCGGUGGAAACUUUCUGGCUAGAGUCCGGAAGAGGAGAAUGGAAUUCCUGGUGUAGCGGUGAAAUGCGCAGAUAUCAGGAAGAACACCCGUGGCGAAGGCGGUUCUCUGGGACGGUACUGACGCUGGAGACGCGAAAGCGUGGGGAGCGAACAGG